rnacentral:lncRNA from 1 species
CCGCCUUCUGUCAGGCCCCUGGCUGGCCAGGGCUCGGCUGCGCGGGCAGGGUCUCCCACCCAGUCUCAACAACCGCACUCCGCUGACUCCCGUCCCAGGGGUGAGAACCGCUGCGGGGACGCGUUGUAGGUGGAGUCCAGACGCGCCGAUCUCAGGAGAAUAAGCUCGUCGUGGAAGAGAGCACUGAGCCAGCGCACAGGGGGCCCACUUGAAAAAGACCCAUCAGCUGCUUUCUCAGGUACCCUGCACCUUCGUCCUAUUUCACCUCUCACCUGACCACCACCUGUCCACCACCUGUCCAGCCGUCCCCACAGUGCCACGUUCUGAAGACGAUGUAUUCUACUUCUCUUCUCCCACUCAGCCUGCCAGCAGAGCCCUGCCCCCCCACACCCCCUCUCUGGGCCACACAGACUGCAUGACCACACGUGGACUGAUGGGCAGCAGAGUGAACCAUCUGCGGAUGUGCUGAUAGACAUGGGCUCAGGCCUCUUGAAAUAAAAGGCAGCUAGCCUUGGCAGCCAGCCUCCGAAUGAAUGAUCUGUGAACUGCAUUGAUUUGGUCGCUGUUGCCAGAUUGGGGCACCAGGAAGACUCUUCCGCUUAAGCAUUCAGUAAAUUCAUACUAAGGACCAACACAACCCCAGGUCUGGUUCUAGGCACUUGGAAUACAGUGGGAAACAAAUUUGACUUUUUUUUUUUUUUUCAAUCCUUACCUUGAAGGACUUCUCAAAUGCUUUCUGCAAGUGCAAAGACUCUGAGACAGAAACAAGCCUGGCCAUGUUUCUUGUUUCAGAGCAGAAAGUGGGUGAGUGUGGACAGAGUAGAGUAUAAGCAGUGGGAAGUGAGGAUAUUAGGCAGAGUUUAGGUUAUACACCCAGAAGACCAGGGUAGGGCUGAUUUGAUUCUACCAAUAAUGAGGAAGAGGGUGCAGUCACAUGAAUAAAUUUAUUUAUGUAUUUAUUUUUAUUUUUUAGAAAUUUUACUUAUUUGACACAGAGAGAGAGAGAGAGAGAGCACAUGUGAGCACAGGCAGGGGAAGCAGCAGACGGAGAGGAAGAAGCAGGUUCUCCAUUGAGCUGGGAGCCCCACAUGAGGGAAUCCCAGGACCCUGGGAUUGUGACCUGAGCCAAAGAUAGCUUAACUGACUGAGCCACCCAGGCACCCCCUGACUAAUGUUUUUAAAAUUCCAAGAUAUCUGCUCUAAAGAGAACAGAUAACAAGGGAGUGAGGGUAGGUGAGGAAGGCCAGUGCAGAGGCUACUGUAGAACUGUCGGUUUGGGGCAGACAACUGUAGGAAGUGCCUUAAGAAAGCUGACGGGAUUGUUUGGAAAUGAAUUUCCAAGUGUGGUGAUCACAGAGGGGGCAUUUGGGCCAAGCCUUAGAGAUUUGGGCACAGCAAAGAAGAGUGGAACUGAGAGUCUGUUUUGGGUGAUAAGCAGCAUGAUGAUUUAGGAGAUUGGGUGCCGGAAAAACCGAGGUCAUGAAGGCUGAUCGGUGCCAGACAGUGAGGGCCUGAAUGCGAGGCUGGGGGAUUUGUCCUUUAUUCUGCAGGUGAUAGAGGCACAGGAUCCUUCAGGAGGAAAGGAGAGCAUGGCGGUCUCUGGGUGCAGAAUUUAGAGUGGGGGUCAGCAGACUGUUAACUAGGGACUAGACAGGGCCUAGUGUAGGCUCUGCUGGCCACAAGUUCUCUCU